GCAUAUCCCUUGGAACUUUACCUGUAGGAAUACUCUGGGCCCUGUGUGAAAAGUGGGUUCCUCCUCUACUAUAUCUGCCAGAAACCCAAAGAAUGGCAUACCUUGACAACACUCUUGAAGAUCAGGUUCCAGCUACACCUCAAGCAGUUUUUGGCUUCAGGAUCCCUGCUCCUGUGGUCCCCUCUGUGUAUAGUGUCCAUGCCCUACCCCUACUUCACCUGCAGAACUCAGAAUAUACAGCUGUUUGGGCCUGGACAGGAUGGCUCCAUGACCUGGAUCAGCUAUUACAAAAGGUAAUCUCCCUUUUACACACAACAAUCAUGUCAUACCAGCUUAUCCCUAUGAAAACAUACAUUUUAGAUGUCAUACCAGCACCCACCCAUCUAGAGCCCUAGGAUAACCUAGACUCCUGGAAAUUUAGGUUCAUACUGUUUUUACAGAUAUCAAAGAUAAAGUCAAUUGUUCCAUCCUGCUCAAGUGGCUUGUUUAUUUUUAUAGAUACACAUUCUAAAUCUAAAUGUAAUUCUCCUCCAUAUCACAUAACUGAUCUUCCUAAAUUUGAAGGCAUUAAUGUCACCCUCUUCUAAGCUCUUUUUAAGUCCAAAUCCUUCACCAAGUCUGUGGGAAGGAUUCUCUGUAGGCUCUCCUCCCCUUGGUCACUACAGUCUUCUAUUUCCUUCUCCUCCCUUUAUAGAAACAUCAUCACUCCUAUAUAACAACCACCUCAUUGUUUUCUUCACUUUCUUCUUUCAUUCUUGCUUCUUUGCAUCUUGUCUCUAUCCUAUUUCUUCUCCACACAAUCAGUCCACCAUAGGCCACUCUGACUCAGCUCAAC